rnacentral:lncRNA from 1 species
ACUAUUUCUACUAGCAAUCCUGAGACAUCUUCAGUAACCAACUCAAUUCUUAUUAUUUCAUCAAAUAUUAACUUCCCUUUCUUUAACAUAUUAAAAAUUAUUAAAAGCGUAAUUUGCUCUAAUAUCAAUUAUUGGAUCCGAUAAUUAUAUUAAUAUUGAUUAUGUAAUUCAAAAUUUAAAAUAAAAUAUAAUAUAAUAUGGAGAAGAUAUUGAAGGAAAAGGAAGAUAACUAAUGUAAUACUUUAUUAAUAAAAAAUAUUAGAUUACACCAUAGACGACACCCUCGGCCUUAUGCAGUUAUGUUUACUGUGGCUUCACCAUCUAAUUAACACUUGCCUAGCUAUAUAUAUAUAUAACUUAUCAAGUCAUAACAUACGACAAAUCUAACUUUUACUAUAGACUACUAUAAAUUCUAAUCAUAAUCAAACAAAAUACUUAAACUUGCCUCUAACUAUAUUUUAAUUAAAUUUGAAUUUUUAUUCCAACAAAAAUCUAAUUUCCCUAAUUAGGCCCACCUCCACCUUCUU